UAGGGAAUCUUCCGCAAUGGGCGAAAGCCUGACGGAGCAACGCCGCGUGAGUGAUGAAGGUCUUCGGAUCGUAAAACUCUGUUAUUAGGGAAGAACAAAUGUGUAAGUAACUAUGCACGUCUUGACGGUACCUAAUCAGAAAGCCACGGCUAACUACGUGCCAGCAGCCGCGGUAAUACGUAGGUGGCAAGCGUUAUCCGGAAUUAUUGGGCGUAAAGCGCGCGUAGGCGGUUUUUUAAGUCUGAUGUGAAAGCCCACGGCUCAACCGUGGAGGGUCAUUGGAAACUGGAAAACUUGAGUGCAGAAGAGGAAAGUGGAAUUCCAUGUGUAGCGGUGAAAUGCGCAGAGAUAUGGAGGAACACCAGUGGCGAAGGCGACUUACUGGUCUGUAACUGACGCUGAUGUGCGAAAGCGUGGGGAUCAAACAGG
rnacentral:rRNA from 1 species